UACGUAGGGUGCAAGCGUUAAUCGGAAUUACUGGGCGUAAAGCGUGCGCAGGCGGUUAUGUAAGACAGUUGUGAAAUCCCCGGGCUCAACCUGGGAAUUGCAUCUGUGACUGCAUAGCUAGAGUACGGUAGAGGGGGAUGGAAUUCCGCGUGUAGCAGUGAAAUGCGUAGAUAUGCGGAGGAACACCGAUGGCGAAGGCAAUCCCCUGGACCUGUACUGACGCUCAUGCACGAAAGCGUGGGGAGCAAACGAGG
rnacentral:rRNA from 1 species